UACGUUCGCGGGCUUCGAUCUCGCACGUCGCGUCGCGUCGCCCGCAAGCGCGAGCAGCACCGUGAUAAACACUCACUCGGCGAUACCAUCGUCGAAAUCAUGCAAACAAACGCGGUGUCGCGUUUUGCGGUUUAUCUGCAAUUUCCUUGCCCUGAAACGUAAAUUGUCAUUAAAAAUUAUUUUCACGAAACUCUCGUUGUAGCGAGAGUCGAUAACAAAGUCGUUGGACAACAAGUUUCAAGCAAGUUAGUUUACCGUCCGUGUAUCGGAGGGCGCUAGCUACGAGCCUGCUCAGUUUUCGUUCGAAAAGUGACUCGGGGUCAUUCGUGAAAAACGCAUUCGUUUUCUCAUUAUCACGCGCGUUUUGGCGUUAUUAACGUCAAAAGGUUCCACGAACGUCACGAGUUUUGGCUAUCGUCGAACAGCUGCAGCAGAAUGAAAGAAGAAGCCGAACGGAAACCAGACGCUGUAACGCACACUCAGAAACGUUCUUCUCUCCCCUAGAAGUUGCUCGUGGCAGGUCGACCGGUUCUGCUCUAAUUGCAUUUCCCGCGAGUACUCGGAACCCUUCGUUCUUCCGUUGUGAUUCCUCAUUUUUCUUCUUUUUUUAAUCCAUUCGACUAAUUAGAUUACUACGAAAUCUGAAAUUCCGAAAAUAUAUUGUAACGUAUUUAUCGUUAAUACACAUCAGUAUUGUUAAAUAAGUAUAUAAGUAUAUAUAUAUAUAUACACUUAUAUGCUUAUUAGUAUACUAUUAUAUGUUAUUAUAUAUUAUAUACUUAUACACUUAUUAUAAAUAUAUAUAUAUAUAUAUAUAUAUAUAUAUAUAUAAUAAGUAACCGAUAAUAUAUCGAACGCAGACAGAUCUUUUUGGUAGUUGUUGAUUGUUUCAUCGUCGACAGCCUAUAUAUUUACGUACAAAUUACGCGCAGAUCUGUGAGAUUUUGCAUUGCCCUUGGUCCGUACGCUCGAUUCAUCAUCGUCGCGUCCAAGAUUAGACGCCUUCGGUUUCCACGAACGGAAGACACGAGCUGAAACGAGCCUUCUUCGCGUUCGUGAUCUUUUUUUUCGAAGAUUGCGCGCGAGCAUUCCCGUCGAUUACUCGUAACGAGCGUUGUUUAUCGUCGUAUUCGUCGUUUGCCGGCUAAAUUCUCGUACGAAACACUCGGUUGGAAGAAAUUGAAACGCGACGACGAACACGGGCAAUGAAAAAUCUUUUCCCGCGAGCUUGCCAAGCAGUAUUCGAAUUUGGACGCGACACGACGCAAGAUUCGAAACGAACAGUAAGCGGAAAUACCCAUGCGUCGGAGAAUAUUCACGCGUAGCCGUGUAGCCGACCAUGUACCUCGUUUUUUUUUCUUUUUUUUUUUUUCGUUUCAUUUUGCGUUUCUGCAGAAGACGCAGCAUAAGUAGCAAUGAUUUUGCACGCUCGAUCGAUCAACAUUUUUGAUAAACGCGUGAUAAAUUGAAUUGUGAGAGUGUGGAAAUUGGAGAGUUUCGAAUCGAAAUUUCGUCGACACGUAAAAAUAGGGCAGGCUAAAGAAAUAGGUAUGUGUACGUACUUAUCCCCUUUAGAGAACCGGACGCGAGAGAGACAGGGAAGAGAGCGCGAAUGGUUCUCUGCAUGAAUCCCCGUAUACAGUAUACAAACCUCGGAACAAAAAGAUAUGUAAUACACUAUAUUUUUUUAUAUUAUGUAUCGUAAAGUAAAGAGACUGCGUAGAUUAUUACAUUAGUAAUCCUUGGAAUAUUGGGCGUGGAUAUAUGAUGUGUAAUAUGUCGAAUGUCACUGAGAUGUAUACCGAGACAACGCGCAAUUUCCCAGAAAGAUACAAACGAAAUAUAAAUAUUGUCCACAGUUGCGAGCCGAGCAAGUUAAGGCAAAUCGAAUAUUUACACUCGUCAGUCGUACAGAAGCUAUCGAAAGCGUAGCACUCGUGUGAAAUAUAGCGAGUUGAAUGCGUAUUAACGUAAUAAAUUUGUAAAAAUGGGUCGCGGGUAAAAGUUAAGUCCACCUGAAAUACACACGAUAUUGAAAUUGAAGAACAUUGAAGAAAAUAGCUAAAAGUGAUAACAAAUUUACUAAAAGAUUCCGAUAAUUAUAAAAAAAAGAAAAGCUAACUCGGGAUAAACGUGCCACAAUAUACGUGAUAUAACGUCAAAUUCAAGCUUGAUUGCGAGACAAGUUGCAAAGAAAGCCGGGAUUACGACAAAUGUUAGGAAUGUUCGACGUGUUUUAAAGAAUUGUAAACAUCUGAAACGACGAAAAUUGCAACAAAUUCUCCAAUCGUCCAGAUACAACUCGAAAACUAAGAAGAAAGAAGGAAUGAUUGCUGGGUAGAGCUGUAUGCACGGGAUCUCCCGCAGCGGGUGCACGCUCGUUCAUGAAACGGAAGCCUAUUUCUUCGACAACGUUGAACUCUGCUGCUCGUGACUAUUCUCAGAGACGAAGGACACGAAAUAUAUGUAUAUAUAUAUAUAUAUAUAUAUCGGCAGGAACGUCGCAUUUCUUCGACGUAGAGACGAAUAAUUUGUGAGAUCGGCAAAUUUGAUUGAAAGAUCGAUAGUCACGGAUGGAAACGAAGGGGAAGAAAGGUAGGGACAGUAAUUGAAAUAAAUUUAAUGAGAACCAUUGAGAAAUCCAAAGUAAGUAACUCACUGAAAGUAACAAACACUGGGAGAAAAAUAAUCUAUCCUGCUCGACGGUUUGUCGCUACGAAAAUAAAUAACUGUGUAUG